rnacentral:SRP_RNA from 11 species
GACUCGGCCUUUCGCGGUUUUAACGCCCAAACCUGGUCAGGAUCGGAAGGUAGCAGCCACAAGGGAUGCUUGAGGCAGGCGAGAUAACCGAGUCACUU